rnacentral:lncRNA from 1 species
UGUACAAGUACGGACGUCCUACUGGUGUUGAUUGUUCUCAACUUAUUACAAUGGUUCAGUUGCAUUGGAAAGAUGCAACCAUCCCAUUAGCAUGAGAUAUUGCUAGGUAAUAUGGGGUUGGGCCCAAUAGCCAGGCACGGUGAGGGACCUAAUGAUGGCUUUAUCUAUGCAUUGAAUGGUGGGUCUGACUUAAUUAAGGAUUGAGCCAAUAACCAGGCAUGGUAAGGUUUUAUGACUUAAAGAUCAAGUGCUGCAACAUGCUUGAGAAGCAUUGGACAAUAGUUGUCCACUCAUCGAUAUAGCAUGGCCCAAUAAUCGGGCAU